rnacentral:rRNA from 1 species
AUGAAACCAAAUAAAGCGCCUGGUCCAGAUAAUAUUCCUAUUGAGUUUUUCCAACAUUGUUGGGAGAUAGUGAAAAAUGAAGUGAUGAUGCUAUUUGACUGGUUCCAUGAUAACAAACUGGAUGUGCAGCGUCUCAACUAUGGGAUCAUAACUCUACUGCCUAAGGUUGUGGGGGCAAACAAGAUUCAGCAAUUCAGGCCUAUUUGCUUGCUUAGAUGUAUAUACAAGCUGAUCACCAAACUUCUCACUAUUAGGUUGGAACCUUUUGUGGAUAUUCUUUUCAGUAGACAUGAAAAUGCUUUCAUUAAGAAGCGCGACAUCAUGGACGGGAUAAUGUCC